UUUUGUACGGAAUUAAACGGUCCGUAUUAAUACCUUGGGCUAAUGACGGUACCGUAAGAAUAAGCACCGGCUAACUACGUGCCAGCAGCCGCGGUAAUACGUAGGGUGCGAGCGUUAAUCGGAAUUACUGGGCGUAAAGCGUGCGCAGGCGGGUUUGUAAGACAGAGGUGAAAUCCCCGGGCUCAACCUGGGAACUGCCUUUGUGACUGCAGAAAUUGAGUACGGCAAAGGGGGAUGGAAUUCCGCGUGUAGCAGUGAAAUGCGUAAAUAUGCGGAGGAACACCGAUGGCGAAGGCAAUCCCCUGGGCCUGUACUGACGCUCAUGCACGAAAGCGUGGGGAGCAAACAGGAUUAGAUACCCUGGUAGUCCGCGCCCUAAACGAUGUCAACUGGUUGUUGGACGGGCUUCUGUUCAGUAACGAAGCUAACGCGUGAAGUUGACCGCCUGGGGAGACGGUCCGCAGGGUUGAAACUCAAAGGAAUU
rnacentral:rRNA from 1 species